rnacentral:rRNA from 1 species
AGUGAACGUUGGCGGCGUGGAUUAGGCAUGCAAGUCGAGCGAGAACCGUAGCAAUACGGGGACAGCGGCGAAAGGGACAGUAAUGUGUAGGUACCUACCCCGGGGUCUGGGAUAGCUGCGGGAAACUGCAGGUAAUACCGGAUAAUGUCUUCGGACCAAAGGUGUGAUUCCACCUUGGGAGGGGCCUGCAUCCUAUUAGCUUGUUGGCGGGGUAACGGCCCACCAAGGCAACGAUGGGUAGCGGGUGUGAGAGCACGACCCGCGUCAUUGGGACUGAGAUACUGCCCAGACACCUACGGGUGGCUGCAGUCGAGGAUCUUCGGCAAUGGGCGAAAGCCUGACCGAGCGACGCCGCGUGCGGGAUGAAGGCCUUCGGGUUGUAAACCGCUGUCGUAGAGGAGGAAAUGCAGGGGGGUUCUCCCUUCUGUUUGACCUAUUCUAGGAGGAAGGACGGGCUAAGUUCGUGCCAGCCGCCGCGGUAA